GACGAACGCUGGCGGCGUGCUUAACACAUGCAAGUCGAACGGAAAGGCCCUGCUUUUGUGGGGUGCUCGAGUGGCGAACGGGUGAGUAACACGUGAGUAACCUGCUCUUGAUUUUGGGAUAACUUCAGGAAACUGGGGCUAAUACCGGAUAGGAGCUCCUGCUGCAUGGUGGGGGUUGGAAAGUUUCGGCGGUUGGGGAUGGACGGGCGGCUUAUCAGCUUGUUGGUGGGGGAGUGGCUUACCAAGGCUUUGACGGGUAGCCGGCCUGGGAGGGUGACCGGCCACAUUGGGACUGAGGUACGGCCCAGACUCCUACGGGAGGCAGCGGUGGGGAAUAUUGUACAAUGGGCGGAAGCCGGAUGCAGCAACGCCGCGUGCGGGAUGACGGCCUUCGGGUUGUAAACCGCUUUCGCCUGUGACGAAGCGUGAGUGACGGUAAUGGGUAAAGAAGCACCGGCUAACUACGUG
rnacentral:rRNA from 1 species